rnacentral:rRNA from 1 species
UCGAGCGAGACUGCCUUGAAGAUCGGAGUGCUUGCACUCUGUGAAACAAGAUACAGGCUAGCGGCGGACGGGUGAGUAACACGUGGGUAACCUGCCCAAGAGAUCGGGAUAACACCUGGAAACAGAUGCUAAUACCGGAUAACAACAGAUGAUGCCUAUCAACUGUUUAAAAGAUGGUUCUGCUAUCACUCUUGGAUGGACCUGCGGUGCAUUAGCUAGUUGGUAGGGUAACGGCCUACCAAGGCGAUGAUGCAUAGCCGAGUUGAGAGACUGAUCGGCCACAUUGGGACUGAGACGCGGCCCAAACUCCUACGGGAGGCAGCAGUAGGGAAUCUUCCACAAUGGACGCAAGUCUGAUGGAGCAACGCCGCGUGAGUGAAGAAGGGUUUCGGCUCGUAAAGCUCUGCUGUUGGUGAAGAAGGACAGGGGUAGUAACUGACCUUUGUUUGACGGUAAUCAAUUAGAAAGUCACGGCUAACUACGUGCCAGCAGCCGCGGUAAUACGUAGGUGGCAAGCGUUGUCCGGAUUUAUUGGGCGUAAAGCGAGUGCAGGCGGCUCGAUAAGUCUGAUGUGAAAGCCUUCGGCUCAACCGGAGAAUUGCAUCAGAAACUGUCGAGCUUGAGUACAGAAGAGGAGAGUGGAACUCCAUGUGUAGCGGUGAAAUGCGUAGAUAUAUGGAAGAACACCGGUGGCGAAGGCGNNNCNCUGGUCUGUUACUGA